GUUGAUCCCGCCGGACCCGACUUCUAUUUGGGUGAGGAUAAGCCAUGCGAGUCGAAUGGGAUACCUAAAAUUCCCAUGGCAAACUGCUCAGUAACACAUGAUCAACUUACCCUAUAGAGAAAAAUAACCUCGGGAAACUGAGGAUAAUUAUUCAUAAUUGAAAAGGCUUGGAAAAGUUUUUCAACGAAAGGUUAAGAAAAAUGGUUCUUAUCCGCUAUAGGAUGGGAUCGUGCUCGAUUAUGGUUGUUGGUGAGGUAAAGGCUCACCAAGCCGAUAAUCGAUAGGGGCCGUGAGAGCGGGAGCCCCGAGAUGGGUACUGAGACAACGACCCAGGCCUUACGAGGCGCAGCAGGCGCGAAACCUCCGCAAUACACGAAAGUGUGACGGGGUUACCCAAAGUGUUCUAUUUAGAACUGUGGUAGGUGAGUAAUGUCCCCUACUAGAAAGGAGAGGGCAAGGCUGGUGCCAGCCGCCGCGGUAAAACCAGCACCUCAAGUGGUCAGGAUGAUUAUUGGGCCUAAAGCAUCCGUAGCCUGCUUUGUAAGUUUUCGGUUAAAUCCAUACGCUUAACGUAUGGGCUGCCGGGAAUACUGCAAAGCUAGGGAGUGGGAGAGGUAGACGGUACUCGGUAGGAAGGGGUAAAAUCCUUUGAUCUAUUGAUGACCACCUGUGGCGAAGGCGGUCUACCAGAACACGUUCGACGGUGAGGGAUGAAAGCUGGGGGAGCAAACCGGAUUAGAUACCCGGGUAGUCCCAGCUGUAAACGAUGCAGACUCGGUGAUGCCCUGGCU
rnacentral:rRNA from 1 species